rnacentral:rRNA from 1 species
AGCGAACGCUGGCGGCAUGCCUAACACAUGCAAGUCUGACGGGCUGGGCUUUCGGGCCUGGUCAGUGGCGGACGGGUGAGGAGCGCGUAGGAACGCAUCCAAGGGUGGGGGACAACCGCGGGAAACUGCGGCUAAUACCGCACGCGGCCCCGAGGGAGACCUGGGGGCCAAAGGCCGGGAGACCGGCCGCCCAUGGAACGGCCUGCGUCCGAUUAGCUAGUUGGUGGGGUGACGGCCUACCAAGGCGGCGAUCGGUAGCUGGUCUGAGAGGAUGAUCAGCCACACUGGGACUGAGACACGGCCCAGACUCCUACGGGAGGCAGCAGUGGGGAGUAUUGGACAAUGGGCGAAAGCCUGACCCAGCAACGCCGCGUGGGUGACGAAGGCCUU